rnacentral:rRNA from 1 species
AAAUUGAAGAGUUUGAUCAUGGCUCAGAUUGAACGCUGGCGGCAGGCCUAACACAUGCAAGUCGAGCGGUAGCACAGAGAGCUUGCUCUCGGGUGACGAGCGGCGGACGGGUGAGUAAUGUCUGGGAAACUGCCUGAUGGAGGGGGAUAACUACUGGAAACGGUAGCUAAUACCGCAUAACGUCGCAAGACCAAAGUGGGGGACCUUCGGGCCUCAUGCCAUCAGAUGUGCCCAGAUGGGAUUAGCUAGUAGGUGGGGUAACGGCUCACCUAGGCGACGAUCCCUAGCUGGUCUGAGAGGAUGACCAGCCACACUGGAACUGAGACACGGUCCAGACUCCUACGGGAGGCAGCAGUGGGGAAUAUUGCACAAUGGGCGCAAGCCUGAUGCAGCCAUGCCGCGUGUGUGAAGAAGGCCUUCGGGUUGUAAAGCACUUUCAGCGGGGAGGAAGGCGAUAAGGUUAAUAACCUUGUCGAUUGACGUUACCCGCAGAAGAAGCACCGGCUAACUCCGUGCCAGCAGCCGCGGUAAUACGGAGGGUGCAAGCGUUAAUCGGAAUUACUGGGCGUAAAGCGCACGCAGGCGGUCUGUCAAGUCGGAUGUGAAAUCCCCGGGCUUAACCUGGGAACUGCAUUCGAAACUGGCAGGCUAGAGUCUUGUAGAGGGGGUAGAAUUCCAGGUGUAGCGGUGAAAUGCGUAGAGAUCUGGAGGAAUACCGGUGGCGAAGGCGGCCCCCUGGACAAAGACUGACGCUCAGGUGCGAAAGCGUGGGGAGCAAACAGGAUUAGAUACCCUGGUAGUCCACGCCGUAAACGAUGUCGAUUUGGAGGUUGUGCCCUUGAGGCGUGGCUUCCGGAGCUAACGCGUUAAAUCGACCGCCUGGGGAGUACGGCCGCAAGGUUAAAACUCAAAUGAAUUGACGGGGGCCCGCACAAGCGGUGGAGCAUGUGGUUUAAUUCGAUGCAACGCGAAGAACCUUACCUGGUCUUGACAUCCACAGAACUUUCCAGAGAUGGAUUGGUGCCUUCGGGAACUGUGAGACAGGUGCUGCAUGGCUGUCGUCAGCUCGUGUUGUGAAAUGUUGGGUUAAGUCCCGCAACGAGCGCAACCCUUAUCCUUUGUUGCCAGCGGUUAGGCCGGGAACUCAAAGGAGACUGCCAGUGAUAAACUGGAGGAAGGUGGGGAUGACGUCAAGUCAUCAUGGCCCUUACGACCAGGGCUACACACGUGCUACAAUGGCAUAUACAAAGAGAAGCGACCUCGCGAGAGCAAGCGGACCUCAUAAAGUAUGUCGUAGUCCGGAUUGGAGUCUGCAACUCGACUCCAUGAAGUCGGAAUCGCUAGUAAUCGUAGAUCAGAAUGCUACGGUGAAUACGUUCCCGGGCCUUGUACACACCGCCCGUCACACCAUGGGAGUGGGUUGCAAAAGAAGUAGGUAGCUAACCUUCGGGAGGGCGCUUACCACUUUGUGAUUCAUGACUGGGGUGAAGUCGUAACAAGGUAACCGUAGGGGAACCUGCGGUUGGAUCACCUCCUUA